rnacentral:rRNA from 1 species
AACGAACGCUGGCGGCAGGCCUAACAUAUGCAAGUCGAGCGCCCUUUCGGGGGAGCGGCGGACGGGUGAGUAACGCGUGGGAAUAUGCCCUUCUCUACGGAAUAGCCUCGGGAAACUGAGAGUAAUACCGUAUACGCCCUGUGUGGGAAAGCUUUCUCGGGGAAGGAUUAGCCCGCGUUGGAUUAGGUAGUUGGUGGGGUAAUGGCCUACCAAGCCGACGAUCCAUAGCUGGUUUGAGAGGAUGAUCAGCCACACUGGGACUGAGACACGGCCCAGACUCCUACGGGAGGCAGCAGUGGGGAAUCUUAGACAAUGGGGGCAACCCUGAUCGAGCCAUGCCGGGUGAGUGAUGAAGGCCUUAGGGUUGUAAAGCUCUUUCAGCUGGGAAGAUAAUGACGGUACCAGCAGAAGAAGCCCCGGCUAACUCCGUG